AACGCUGGCGGCGUGCCUAAUACAUGCAAGUCGAGCGAAAAUUUGAGAGCUUGCUCUCAAAUUUUAGCGGCGGACGGGUGAGUAACACGUGGGCAACCUACCUUGUAGAUUGGGAUAAUCCCGGGAAACCGGGGCUAAUACCGAUAAUCCAUUUUGCUUCAUGGCGAGAUGUUAAAAGCGGCUUCGGCUGUCACUACGAGAUGGGCCCGCGGCGCAUUAGCUAGUUGGUAGGGUAAUGGCCUACCAAGGCGACGAUGCGUAGCCGACCUGAGAGGGUGAUCGGCCACACUGGGACUGAGACACGGCCCAGACUCCUACGGGAGGCAGCAGUAGGGAAUCUUCCACAAUGGACGAAAGUCUGAUGGAGCAACGACCGCGUGAGUGAAGAAGGUUUUCGGUAUCGUAAAACUCUGUUGUAAGGGAAGAACACGUACGAGAGUAACUGCUCGUACCUUGACGGUACCUUAUUAGAAAGCCACGGCUAACUACGUG
rnacentral:rRNA from 1 species